GCCGAUGUAGCUCAAUAGCAGAGCAAUGGUUUUGUAAACCAUUUACGGCAGUGCGAUUCUGCCCAUCGGCU
rnacentral:tRNA from 1 species